rnacentral:misc_RNA from 1 species
AAUCUCCUCAUUUCUUUGUAUCUUCGUCCCCUUUGAUUGCCGGCGGCACACAAUCAGCAAAAAGAAAAACAACCCUAGAACCCCUUUUCUUUCUGCUAAGUUUUUGCACAAAAUCCAAUCUUUUAAAGGGUUGGUUCUUUUUGAUGUUUAAUGUUCUGCAAAAAAAUUUUUUCUGCAAGAUAGGAACGAAGCACGGAAAGAAAUUGAGCAUCAAGCGUUCUAGUUUGGUCUGUUAACUCAGGGAAAUUGGAUUUUUGCUUAAUGGAUUAACAAUAAGGAUGUCUGCUUUUCAUGAUUUUGCAUCAGAGACUUUGAUUUUGAUUUUGCACAAAAUGUUACUUCCUUGCUGCUGAUCAUAAGUUGGGAGUAAUAUUUGAUUGCUAAUGGAUCGUAAGGAUACUUCAGGAUUCGUUAGUGGGGGUGGGAUGUGUUCUUGUGGACACAUCUAACCCUAGUUUACAAUUAACUUUUCUUAAGCCCGGGAGUCAGGUUGACUGUUCUUUUUCAAUUGAGAUUUGGUUCAAAUAGAAGUUUUUAUACCAGCUAUUAGUUUAUGGAUCCGAGAUUCCGCUAUGUGGGGUUUACCGUUAACCCUCAGUUAAGUGCAUUCAAGAAUCUGGGCAAAUCCAUCGCAGUUGGUGAAGCUGGAGUUGGGGGUAGUUAUUGUGCUGAUACCACCUUACGGCUUGAUUCAAUUUGCUCUUCAGUUCCGUCCAUCCCUGCCCCAAAAGGAAUCAAACGAAAAUGGAGUUCACUUGGUGUAUCUAACGAUCAGCCAAUUGGUUCAUCUUUGUGUCUACGUUUAGGACAUUCAUCAAGUUCGUCAGAUAGCAAGGGGAGCUCAGGUGCUGCAUGCACUUCUAUAUGCUCAGCAAUAGAAAAUGAUGAAGAGUCCUCAAUGGACCUGGACUUAGACUUUAGUCUCCAUCUUGGUAGUGAGAAGACUUCAAGCUCUAGAAAGUCUACUCAUCCUGAGUCCAAAAAACUUGCCAAAGGCCUUGCAGUUGAUCUGGAACUAAGUCUCUCUAGUGGUGCUGCUGAAUCUGAUGUCACCACUGUGCAUUUGCUCUCCACUUCACCACAAAGUAUCAUGAAGGCGCCGCAGGAGAUGACUGGAGCUUUUCACACUGAUGAAGUAUCAACAGCUGUACAUUGGAAGCCCAGCGACAUUUUCCAUCCAUUACGAACUUCACAGGGAACUGAGGCUAGUUAUUUAUUGAACCAGGAUGCAACACAAUUCAAGCAAGCUACAGUCUCCCCAAAUCUGUCGUCAAGUAUAAUCACAAAUUCAAAGAGCUCAGUCACCUGUACUUCCGGGUUAACAAACCAGCAGCAACAACAACAGCAACGUAGCAGUAGUACUAAACAGUGUCAGUUCAAGGGAUGCGUAAAAGGAGCAAGAGGUGCUUCUGGCCUUUGCAUCGCCCACGGUGGGGGCCGCAGGUGUCAGAAACCAGGCUGCCACAAG